AAGGAUUCCCCUAGUAGCGGCGAGCGAAGCGGGAAGAGCUCAAAUUUAUAAUCUGGCACCUUCGGUGUCCGAGUUGUAAUCUCUAGAAGUGUUUUCCGCGUUGGACCGCACACAAGUCUGUUGGAAUACAGCGGCAUAGUGGUGAAACCCCCGUAUAUGGUGCGGACGCCCAGCGCUUUGUGAUACACUUUCAAUGAGUCGAGUUGUUUGGGAAUGCAGCUCAAAUUGGGUGGUAAAUUCCAUCUAAAGCUAAAUAUUGGCGAGAGACCGAUAGCGAACAAGUACCGUGAGGGAAAGAUGAAAAGCACUUUGGAAAGAGAGUUAACAGUACGUGAAAUUGUUGGAAGGGAAACGCUUGAAGUCAGACUUGCUUGCCGGAGCUUGCUUCGGUUUGCAGGCCAGCAUCAGUUUUCCGGGGUGGAUAAUGACGGUUUGAAGGUAGCAGUCUCGGCUGUGUUAUAGCUUUCCGUUGGAUACAUCCUGGGGGACUGAGGAACGCAGCGUGCUUUUUGCGAAAGACUCGUCUUUUUCACGCUUAGGAUGCUGGUGGAAUGGCUUUAAACGACCCGUC
rnacentral:rRNA from 1 species